rnacentral:rRNA from 1 species
AUUGAACGCUGGCGGCAGGCUUAACACAUGCACGUCGAGCGAGCGGCGGACGGGUGAGUAAUGUCUGGGAAACUGCCUGAUGGAGGGGAUAACUACUGGAACCGGUAGCUACUAGCGCAUACCCUCAGAUGUGCCCCGAUGGGAUUAGCUAGUAGGUGGGGUAAUGGCUCACCUAGGCGACGAUCCCUAGCUGGUCUUAGAGGAUGACCAGCCACACUGGAACUGAGACACGGUCCAGACUCCUACGGGAGGCAGCAGUGGGGAAUAGGGCACAAUGGGCGCAAGCCUGAUGCAGCCAUGCCGCGUGUGUGAAGAAGGCCUUCGGGUUGUAAAGCACUUGCAGGGAGGAGGGGUUACUCGCAGAAGAAGCACCGGCCAACUCCGUGCCAGCAGCCGCGGUAAUUC